rnacentral:rRNA from 1 species
UACGGGGGGAGCAAGCGUUGUUCGGAUUUACUGGGCGUAAAGGGCGCGUAGGCGGCACCGCAAGUCAGUUGUGAAAAUCUCUGGGCUUAACCCAGAAAGGUCAACUGAUACUGCGGGGCUAGAGUGCGGAAGGGGCAACUGGAAUUCUUGGUGUAGCGGUGAAAUGCGUAGAUAUCAAGAGGAACACCAGUGGCGAAGGCGGCUCACUGGUCCGGUACUGACGCUGAGACGCGAAAGCGUGGGGAGCGAACAGG